AUGGCCUCGAGCUCGCUCCCGUUCCUGGCUCUCCUGCUGCUGGCGGCCCUGCCAGUUACCCCAAAAUCGAGGUUUUUGCGCGGGUUCCCCGCGGGCCCCGCCCACCGUGGGUCUCCUAUUGACGCCUGGGGCAGCGGAACGACGGUCACGGUGUCCAGCGGCUCCGCCCGGGCCCCGGAUCUGUUCCCGCUGUCGCCCUGCGGCUCCGGCACGGCGUUCUCGGUGGGCUGCGUGGCCGUGGGCUUCACGCCGCCGCCCGUCGGCUUCGCCUGGCGCGACCGGGAGAACCGGAGCGCUCCGGGCGCCGCCAUCUUCCCGCCGGUGCGGAGUUCCGGAAGGUUCCUGGCCGCCUCCCGGCUGGGAAUGGAGCUGGAGGAGGGGAAGGGCCGGCAGCCCUUCUGGUGCCGGGCCGAGCACGCCCGGGGAAGCCGGAGUGUGCAGGUGUACAACCCAGGUGAGGCGCCUAAUAACGCUCCUAAUAAUGGUCCUAAUAUCCCUAAUAAUUGGUCAAAAAUCCGGGAAAAAUAUCCCUUAAAAUGGCCCAAAAAUACCAGAUUAAUAGCCCUAAUAAUGGCCCUAAUAAUGGCCCUAAUGUCCCUAAUAAUGGCCCAGAAAUCCCAGAUUAAUAGCCCUAAUACUAGCCUUAAUAAUAGUCCUAAUAAUAGCCCUAAUAUCCCUAAUAAUGGCCAAAAAAUCCCAGAUUUCUGCCGCAUCCGCGGCUCCCGGCCACGCCCCGGCCACGCCCCCAUCCUCUGGCUCCGCAACGGCGCCCCCCUGAGCGACGGCGCCACCCCGGAAGCGCCGGCGGUGGAAGGUCCCGGAAUCUUCGUCACCGGCAGCCGGCUGGUGGUGACCGAGGCCGAGUGGGAGCGCGGCGACGUCUUCACCUGCCAGGCCGGCGAGGAGAGCAGGAACACCAGCAAGGCCAUGGAGUGCGGAUAUGACCAACCCCUGAGCGCCAGCGACAUCCGGGUGGAGACGGUGGCGCCGCUCUUCGCCGACAUCUUCCGGGACCAGGCGGCGCGGCUGACGUGCCGCGUCUCCAACCUGGCGGCCGGCGGCGAGGGCCUGGAGGUCACGUGGCUCAACGAGGAAGGGGAAGCCCUGGCCACCAAGAUGGCGGCGCCGGCGCUGCAGCCCAACGGGCUGCUGGCGGCCGAGGGCGUGGCCACGGUCAGCGUCGAGGCCUGGGAGUCCGGCCAGGUCUUCACGUGCCGAGUGACCCACCCCGAGCUGCUCUUCCCCAGGGAGGUGACCAUGAGGAAGAGCACGGUUCCGGACGCGGCCCCGCCCACCGUGCACCUGCUGGCCCCGCCCCCGGAGCAGCUGCGCCGCCGCACCUGGGCCACCCUCACCUGCCUCAUCCUGGACUUCAACCCCCCGGACCUCCUCGUCCAAUGGCUGAAGGACGGCCAGCCCCUCCCCUCCAGCCACGCCCUCACCUGGAAACCCCGCCCACAACCCAGCCACGCCCCUUCUGGCCACGCCCACCAGAGCGUCAGCACGCUGACGGUGCCGGCGCGGGAUUGGGAGGGCGGCCAUGUUUACACCUGCCUGGUGGGGCACGAGCGGCUGCCGCUGCGGCUGGCGCAGAAAUCCCUGGAUAAAUCCGCCGGUAACCCCGCCCACCUCAACGUGUCCCUGGUGCUCAGCGACUCCGCCGCCGCCUGCUACUGAAAUCCCCGUUUUUUACCCCAAAAAAAUCGCACUUUUCUAGACGGAAAUAAAGCGUUUUUUGCAAAAACAAAAUGGCGGCUCUAGAUGCAAAACCCUGGUUUUUAGAUGGAAAAUUGAGGGGUUUUUUUCCCAAAAAUUUGGCUUUUUCCACUCAAAAAGUUUCGUUUGGCCCCGUUUUCCCACAAAAUUUGAUUUUUACCCCCAAAAAAUCGCACUUUUCUAGACGGAAAUAAAGCGUUUUUUGCAAAAACAA